GACGAACGCUGGCGGCGUGCUUAACACAUGCAAGUCGAACGGAAAGGCCCUGCUUUUGUGGGGUGCUCGAGUGGCGAACGGGUGAGUAACACGUGAGUAACCUGCCCUUGACUUUGGGAUAACUUCAGGAAACUGGGGCUAAUACCUGAUAGGAGCUCCUGCUGCAUGGUGGGGGUUGGAAAGUUUCGGCGGUUGGGGAUGGACUCUCGGCUUAUCAGCUUGUUGGUGGGGUAGUGGCUUACCAAGGCUUUGACGGGUAGCCGGCCUGAGAGGGUGACCGGCCACAUUGGGACUGCGAUACGGACCAGACUGCUACGGGAGGCAGCAGUGGAGAAUAUUGCACAGUGGGCGGGAGCCUGAUGCGGCAACGCCGCGUGCGGGAUGACGGCCUUCGGGUUGUAAACCGCUUUCGCCUGUGACGAAGCGUGAGUGACGGUAAUGGGUAAAGAAGCACCGGCUAACUACGUG
rnacentral:rRNA from 1 species